rnacentral:rRNA from 1 species
AGAGUUUGAUCCUGGCUCAGAGCGAACGCUGGCGGCAGGCUUAACACAUGCAAGUCGAGCGGGCGUAGCAAUACGUCAGCGGCAGACGGGUGAGUAACGCGUGGGAACGUACCUUUUGGUUCGGAACAACACAGGGAAACUUGUGCUAAUACCGGAUAAGCCCUUACGGGGAAAGAUUUAUCGCCGAAAGAUCGGCCCGCGUCUGAUUAGCUAGUUGGUGAGGUAACGGCUCACCAAGGCGACGAUCAGUAGCUGGUCUGAGAGGAUGAUCAGCCACAUUGGGACUGAGACACGGCCCAAACUCCUACGGGAGGCAGCAGUGGGGAAUAUUGGACAAUGGGCGCAAGCCUGAUCCAGCCAUGCCGCGUGAGUGAUGAAGGCCCUAGGGUUGUAAAGCUCUUUUGUGCGGGAAGAUAAUGACGGUACCGCAAGAAUAAGCCCCGGCUAACUUCGUGCCAGCAGCCGCGGUAAUACGAAGGGGGCUAGCGUUGCUCGGAAUCACUGGGCGUAAAGGGUGCGUAGGCGGGUCUUUAAGUCAGGGGUGAAAUCCUGGAGCUCAACUCCAGAACUGCCUUUGAUACUGAGGAUCUUGAGUUCGGGAGAGGUGAGUGGAACUGCGAGUGUAGAGGUGAAAUUCGUAGAUAUUCGCAAGAACACCAGUGGCGAAGGCGGCUCACUGGCCCGAUACUGACGCUGAGGCACGAAAGCGUGGGGAGCAAACAGGAUUAGAUACCCUGGUAGUCCACGCCGUAAACGUUGAGGACUAGGUUGUGGACUGAACAUGGGUUCACAGCCGGAGCAAAAGUGCUAAGUCCUCCGCCCUGGGGAGUAUGGUCGCAAGGCUGAAACUCAAAGGAAUUGACGGGGGCUCACACAAGCGGGUGGAGCAUGUGGCCUAAAUUCGAGGCUACGCGAAGAACCUUAUCCUGGACUUGACAUGUCCGAAAGGGGCUAGGAAGUAAGGAGCGGAAACCGCCACCCCG